UACGAAGGGGACUAGCGUUGUUCGGAAUCACUGGGCGUAAAGCGCACGUAGGCGGAUCGUUAAGUCGGGGGUGAAAUCCUGGAGCUCAACUCCAGAACUGCCUUUGAUGCUGAAGAUCUUGAGUUCGGGAGAGGUGAGUGGAACUGCGAGUGUAGAGGUGAAAUUCGUAGAUAUUCGCAAGAACACCAGUGGCGAAGGCGGCUCACUGGCCCGAUACUGACGCUGAGGUGCGAAAGCGUGGGGAGCAAACAGGG
rnacentral:rRNA from 1 species